rnacentral:rRNA from 1 species
UACAGAGGGGGCGAGCGUUGUUCGGAAUUACUGGGCGUAAAGGGCGCGUAGGCGGCCUUCUAAGUCGAACGUGAAAUCCCCGGGCUCAACCCGGGAACUGCGUCCGAUACUGGGAGGCUUGAAUCCGGGAGAGGUGAGUGGAAUUCCGAGUGUAGAGGUGAAAUUCGUAGAUAUUCGGAAGAACACCAGUGGCGAAGGCGGCUCACUGGACCGGCAUUGACGCUGAGGUGCGAAAGCGUGGGGAGCAAACAGG